UACGUAGGGGGCAAGCGUUGUCCGGAUUUAUUGGGCGUAAAGAGCGUGUAGGCGGCCUGACAGGUCUGCUGUGAAAACUCGAGGCUCAACCUCGAGAUGUCGGCGGAAACCGUCUGGCUAGAGUCCGGAAGAGGAGAGUGGAAUUCCUGGUGUAGCGGUGAAAUGCGCAGAUAUCAGGAAGAACACCUAUGGCGAGGGCAGCUCUCUGGGACGGUACUGACGCUGAGACGCGAAAGCGUGGGGAGCGAACAGG
rnacentral:rRNA from 1 species